rnacentral:rRNA from 1 species
CCUACGGGAGGCAGCAGUAAGGAAUAUUGGUCAAUGGACGAAAGUCUGAACCAGCCAUGCCGCGUGAAGGAUGAAGGUCCUCUGGAUUGUAAACUUCUUUUAUCUGGGACGAAAAAAGGGCUUUCUAGCUCACUUGACGGUACCAGAGGAAUAAGCACCGGCUAACUCCGUGCCAGCAGCCGCGGUAAUACGGAGGGUGCAAGCGUUAUCCGGAUUUACUGGGUUUAAAGGGAGCGUAGGUGGGCAGGUAAGUCAGUGGUGAAAUCUCUGGGCUUAACCCGGAAACUGCCAUUGAUACUAUCUGUCUUGAAUAUCCUGGAGGUAAGCGGAAUAUGUCAUGUAGCGGUGAAAUGCUUAGAUAUGACAUAGAACACCCAUUGCGAAGGCAGCUUACUACGGGAUUAUUGACACUGAGGCUCGAAAGCGUGGGGAUCAAACAGGAUUAGAUACCCUGGUAGUCCACGCCCUAAACGAUGGAUACUCGACAUCAGCGAUACACUGUUGGUGUCUGAGCGAAAGCAUUAAGUAUCCCACCUGGGAAGUACGACCGCAAGGUUGAAACUCAAAGGAAUUGACGGCUGAGACGNGCGAGACGACGACGAGGAGGAGG